UAGUGCUUCAUGCAUGUACCGCAAUAUUCGAUGUGAUGGAGAAUCUUGAAAACUUUUUGAAUUUUGGUAGGAAUUAAACAAGGCCUAAGUUGCUGCAGUGAGGCAACCGAGUGGUCUGCUGCCCUACAGGCUACAAGGAGCUGAUGGGGACUGCAUACCGAUAGGCUAAACUAGUCCACAACUAUUAAGCGCUAGGUGACGUUGCCUUAUAAUAUUUAAGAAUAUAUCUCAUGCUAAUAUUGCAUUUAUAUCAAGAUCAAUGAAUAUAUUUAAUUUAUUUAUUUCUUUGCAGCUCGUCCCAUGCGGCCAUGCCCUUAAUAUGUUUAUCUUUUUUUGAAUGAACCGGCACCGACAAUGUCUGUUUCUAUUAAUAGAGCAGAAAGCACGAGCAAAUAGUCAUGGA
rnacentral:lncRNA from 1 species